rnacentral:rRNA from 1 species
UGUUGCUUGCAAGGGCGUAUGGUGGAUGCCUUGGCAGACAGGACCGAUGAAGGACGUUUGAGGCUGCGAUAUGCCUCGGGGAGCCGCCAACAGGGCUUUGAUCCGAGGAUUUCCGAAUGGGGGAACCCACCGACCGUCAUGGGUCGGUACCGGCUUCGGCCGGGGGGUACGCAGGGAAGUGAAACAUCUCAGUACCUGCAGGAAAGGAUAUUCCGUGAGUAGUGGCGAGCGAAAGCGGAUGAUGGCCAAACCUUGCGCGUGUGAUACCCGUCGGGGGUUGCGCGCGGGGUGUUGCGGGAUCGCGUGCGCCGGCUCCGACGGGCCGGCCGGCAGUUGCAGAAAACCAUGUGUCAGGGGAACCGGGUUGAAUACCGGGCCGCAGAGGGUGAGGGCCCCGUACCUGAACGCGCAUGGUCUGCCGAUCGCGUCUCCCAAGUAGCACGGGUCCCGUGGAACCCCGUGCGAAUCCGCCCAGACCGUUGGGUAAGCCUGAAUAUUCCUGUCUGACCGAUAGCGAACGAGUACCGUGAGGGAAAGGUGAAAAGUACCCCGGGAGGGGAGUGAAACAGUCUCUGAAACCGUGCGCCUACAAUCCGUCGGAGCCCUUUUGUGGGGUGACGGCGUGCCUAUCGAAAAAUGAGUCUGCGAGUCAGUGGCAUGUGGCGAGCAUAACCCGUGUGGGGUAUGCGUAGCGAAGGCGAGUCUUAAAAGGCGUUUGAGUCGCGUGUCCUGGACCCGAAGCGGGAUGAUCUAGCCCUGAGCAGGUUGAAGCGCGGGUAAGACCGCGUGGAGGACCGAACCCACCUGGGUUGAAAACCGGGGGGAUGACUUGGGGCUAGGGGUGAAAGGCCAAUCAAAUUCCGUGAUAGCUGGUUCUCUCCGAAAUGCAUUUGGGUGCAGCGUCGGGUCAUUACGUCCCGGGGGUAGAGCUACUGGAUGCUUGCGGGCCCGUAUCGGGUACCAACAGCAACCAAACUCCGAAUACCGGUGACGCGUAUCCCGGCAGUGAGUCGGCGGGGGAUAAGCUUCGUCGUCGAAAGGGAAACAGCCCAGACCGUCGUCUAAGGUCCCGAAGCGUGUGCUAAGUGGGAAAGGAUGUGGAGUCGCAUAGACAGCCAGGAGGUUGGCUCAGAAGCAGCCACCCUUGAAAGAGUGCGUAACAGCUCACUGGUCUAGUGGUUCCGCGCCGACAAUGUAGCGGGGCUCAAGCACACCACCGAAGACGCGGCAGUAUUUUGUACUGGGUAGGAGAGCGUCCCAUGAGGGGCGAAGCGGCCGUGUGAACGCGCCGUGGACUUCAUGGGAGUGAGAAUGCAGACAUGAGUAGCGAGAGACGGGUGAAGAUCCCGUCCGCUGGAUGACCAAGGGUUCCAGGGCCACGUUCAUCGUCCCUGGGUGAGUCGGGUCCUAAGGCGAGGCCGACAGGCGUAGUCGAAUGGAUGAACGGGUCGAUAUUCCCGUACCGGCUUUCAGCCGCCAAAACCGAGGCUUGGAGUACUAACCUCCGGGUCCGGGCUUACUGCUCCUUCGGGGGCGGGAUGCCCUGGCCUGUUGGGACCGAUCCUUGUAGUAGGUCAGCGCAGGAGUGACGCAGAAGGGUAGCCGGCCGCGGAGGUGGUCUUCCGUGGUCAAGCACGCAGGGCGUGGGACAGGCAAAUCCGUCCCGCAUGGGUCCGAGGUGCGAUGAUGGGGGCCUUAUGGCCCGAUAUCCGGUGAUCCCGGCUGCCGAGAAAAGCUUCGGCGUCAGGCUCAAAGCCGCCCGUACCCCAAACCGACACUGGUGGUCAGGUAGAGAAUACCAAAGCGAUCGAGCGAAUCCUGGUCAAGGAACUCGGCAAAUCACUCCCGUUCCUUCGGUUUAAGGGAGACCCCCGAUGGUGAACACACUUGCUGUGGGAGCUUUUGGGGGUGGCACAGACCAGGGGGUAGCGACUGUUUACCAAAAACACAGGUGCAUGCGAAGGCGCAAGCCGCUGUAUAUGCACUGACGCCUGCCCGGUGCCGGAAGGUUAAGAGGAUCCGUCAGCCCUCGGGUGAAGCGGUGAAUUCAAGCCCCGGUAAACGGCGGUGGUAACUAUAACCAUCCUAAGGUAGCGAAAUUCCUUGUCGGGUAAGUUCCGACCUGCACGAAUGGCGUAACGACUUCCCCACUGUCUCGACCAGGAGCUCGGCGAAAUUGCAGUACGAGUAAAGAUGCUCGUUA